UACGAAGGGGGCUAGCGUUGCUCGGAAUCACUGGGCGUAAAGGGUGCGUAGGCGGGUCUUAAGUCAGGGGUGAAAUCCUGGAGCUCAACUCCAGAACUGCCUUUGAUACUGAAGAUCUUGAGUUCGGGAGAGGUGAGUGGAACUGCGAGUGUAGAGGUGAAAAUUCGUAGAUAUUCGCAAGAACACCAGUGGCGAAGGCGGCUCACUGGCCCGAUACUGACGCUGAGGCGCGAAAGCGUGGGGAGCAAACAGGG
rnacentral:rRNA from 1 species